AAUAGAUACCCAGGUAGUCCUAGCCGUAAACGAUGAGCACUGGGUUGAAGGGUCCUCCAUAGCCUUUCAGCCGUAGCGAAAGUGUUAAGUGCUCCGCCUGGGGAGUAUGGUCGCAAGGCUGAAACUCAAAGAAAUUGACGGGGGCUCACACAAGCGGUGGAGGAUGUGGCUUAAUUCGAGGCUACGCGAAGAACCUUAUCCUAGUCUUGACAUGCACGGAUUAACUCCCUGAAAGGGGAGCCACGCCUUCGGGUGGAACGUGCACAGGUGCUGCAUGGCUGUCGUCAGCUCGUGCUGUGAAGUGUCGGGUUAAGUCCCUUAACGAGCGAAACCCUUGUCGCUAGUUGCCAGCGAGUCAUGUCGGGGACUCUAGCGAGACCGCCGGUGUUAAACCGGAGGAAGGUGGGGAUGACGUCAAGUCCUCAUGGCCUUUAUGACUAGGGCUGCACACGUCCUACAAUGGCAUGCACAAAGGGACGCAAAGUCGCGAGACCAAGCAAAUCCCAAAAACAUGCCCAGUUCGGAUUGC
rnacentral:rRNA from 1 species